rnacentral:rRNA from 1 species
UACGGGGGGGGCAAGCGUUGUUCGGAAUUACUGGGCGUAAAGGGCUUGUAGGCGGUCAACUAAGUCAGACGUGAAAUCCCUCGGCUUAACCGGGGAACUGCGUCUGAUACUGGAUGGCUUGAGUUUGGGAGAGGGAUGCGGAAUUCCAGGUGUAGCGGUGAAAUGCGUAGAUAUCUGGAGGAACACCGGUGGCGAAGGCGGCAUCCUGGACCAGCACUGACACUGAAAAGCGAAAGCCAGGGGAGCAAACGGG